rfam:Picea glauca, whole genome shotgun sequence.
AAUAUAUAGUUUUUGUUCAUGAAAUCAACAUGUUCCCUUGGUGCAGAUCUUGGUGGUAGUAGCAAAUAUUCAAAUGAGAACUUUGAAGAGUGAAGUGGGGAAAUGUUCCAUGUGAACAUCACUUGGACAUGGUCGGUUAGUCGAUCCUAAGAGUUGGGGAAUCCUUGUAUCAAGGGUGCACAUUGCAUGAACAUAGAAAGAGAAUUGGGUUAAUAUUCUCGAACCGGGACAUGGUGGUGGACAACAGUGUUAGGAAAUAUGGAGAUGUCAUCGGGGUCCUGUGAAGAGUUAUCUUUUCUUUUUAACAACUUUCCCACCCUGAAAUCGGUUCAACCAGAGAUAGGGUCCAACAUUUGGAAGAUAACCACAUGUCUUGCGGUGUUUGGUUCCCCCUUGGCGGCCAUUGAAAAUAUAGAUAACUGAGUACCAUCCAUGCCUGAUCGUACUCAUAUCUGCCUCCUUAGAUUUUUC